CCUCAGAUGGUAUCCUGUUUCCAGUACUGUGCGUACACAAUUCUGGCUGCAGUUGUUAUAUGUAAAAUGAUAUAGGUGAAAGCAG